CCUACGGUGGGCAGCAGUGGGGAAUAUUGGACAAUGGGCGAAAGCCUGAUCCAGCCAUGCCGCGUGUGUGAAGAAGGCCUUCGGGUUGUAAAGCACUUUCAGUGGGGAAGAAAGCCUUGGGGCUAAUACCCUCGAGGAAGGACAUCACCCACAGAAGAAGCACCGGCUAACUCCGUGCCAGCAGCCGCGGUAAUACGGAGGGUGCGAGCGUUAAUCGGAAUUACUGGGCGUAAAGCGCGCGUAGGCGGUCUGAUAAGCCGGUUGUGAAAGCCCCGGGCUCAACCUGGGAACGGCAUCCGGAACUGUCAGGCUAGAGUGCAGGAGAGGAAGGUAGAAUUCCCGGUGUAGCGGUGAAAUGCGUAGAGAUCGGGAGGAAUACCAGUGGCGAAGGCGGCCUUCUGGACUGACACUGACGCUGAGGUGCGAAAGCGUGGGUAGCAAACAGGAUUAGAUACCCGAGUAGUC
rnacentral:rRNA from 1 species